UUAAGUUAAUAAGGGCGCACGGUGGAUGCCUUGGCACUAGAAGCCGAUGAAGGACGUGACUAACGACGAAAUGCUUUGGGGAGCUGUAAGUGAGCAAUGAUCCAGAGAUGUCCGAAUGGGGGAACCCGGCAGGUAAUGCCUGUCACUCAUUACUGUUAAGGUAAUGUAGAGGAAGACGCAGUGAACUGAAACAUCUAAGUAGCUGCAGGAAGAGAAAGCAAAAGCGAUUGCCUUAGUAGCGGCGAGCGAAACGGCAAGAGGGCAAACCGAAGAGUUUACUCUUCGGGGUUGUAGGACUGCAACGUGGACUUAAAGAUUAUAGAAGAACUACCUGGGAAGGUAGGCCAAAGAGAGUAAUAGCCUCGUAUUCGAAAUAGUCUUUAUACCUAGCAGUAUCCUGAGUAAGGCGAGACACGAGAACUCUCGUCGGAAUCUGGGAGGACCAUCCCCCAACCCUAAAUACUCUCUAGUGACCGAUAGUGAACCAGUACCGUGAGGGAAAGGUGAAAAGCACCCCGGGAGGGGAGUGAAAUAGAACCUGAAACCGUGUGCCUACAACAAGUUCGAGCCCGUUAAUGGGUGAGAGCGUGCCUUUUGUAGAAUGAACCGGCGAGUUACGAUAUGAUGCGAGGUUAAGUUGAAGAGACGGAGCCGUAGGGAAACCGAGUCUUAAUAGGGCGCAUUAGUAUCAUGUCGUAGACCCGAAACCAUGUGACCUACCCAUGAGCAGGUUGAAGGUGAGGUAAAACUCACUGGAGGACCGAACCAGGGCACGUUGAAAAGUGCUUGGAUGACUUGUGGGUAGCGGAGAAAUUCCAAACGAACUUGGAGAUAGCUGGUUCUCUCCGAAAUAGCUUUAGGGCUAGCGUCGACAUUAGAGAUUCUUGGAGGUAGAGCACUGUUUGGGUGAGGGGUCCAUCCCGGAUUACCAAUCUCAGAUAAACUCCGAAUGCCAAUGAAUUAUGGUCGGCAGUCAGACUGCGAGUGCUAAGAUCCGUAGUCGAAAGGGAAACAGCCCAGACCACCAGCUAAGGUCCCAAAAUAAUUGUUAAGUGGAAAAGGAUGUGGGGUUGCACAGACAACUAGGAUGUUAGCUUGGAAGCAGCUAUUCAUUCAAAGAGUGCGUAAUAGCUCACUAGUCGAGUGACCCUGCGCCGAAAAUGUACCGGGGCUAAAACAUAUUACCGAAGCUGUGGAUACCUUUAUAGGUAUGGUAGGAGAGCGUUCUAUGUGCGAAGAAGGUGUACCGUGAGGAGUGCUGGAGCGCAUAGAAGUGAGAAUGCCGGUAUGAGUAGCGAAAGACAGGUGAGAAUCCUGUCCACCGUAAGACUAAGGUUUCCAGGGGAAGGCUCGUCCGCCCUGGGUUAGUCGGGACCUAAGGAGAGACCGAAAGGUGUAUCCGAUGGACAACAGGUUGAUAUUCCUGUACUAGAGUAUAUAGUGAUGGAGGGACGCAGUAGGCUAACUAAACCAGACGAUUGGAAGUGUCUGGCCAAGCAGUGAGGUGUGAUAUGAGUCAAAUGCUUAUAUCUAUAACAUUGAGCUGUGAUGGGGAGCGAAGUUUAGUAGCGAAGUUAGUGAUGUCACACUGCCGAGAAAAGCUUCUAGCGUUAAUUAUACUCUACCCGUACCGCAAACCGACACAGGUAGUCGAGGCGAGUAGCCUCAGGUGAGCGAGAGAACUCUCGUUAAGGAACUCGGCAAAUUGGCCCCGUAACUUCGGGAGAAGGGGCGCUGGCUUUAAGUCAGCCGCAGUGAAUAGGCCCAAGCAACUGUUUAUCAAAAACACAGCUCUCUGCUAAAUCGUAAGAUGAUGUAUAGGGGGUGACGCCUGCCCGGUGCUGGAAGGUUAAGAGGAGUGCUUAGCAAUAGCGAAGGUAUGAAUUGAAGCCCCAGUAAACGGCGGCCGUAACUAUAACGGUCCUAAGGUAGCGAAAUUCCUUGUCGGGUAAGUUCC
rnacentral:rRNA from 1 species